CUCAACGCAGAAAUUCCUGAGUGGAUUGAAAGAAAAAAUAUCUGUGUCGUACGUUUGGAUAAACGUAAGAGACAGAAAUCCCUCAAACCUGUUGCGUCUGAAAAAGUGGCGAAAUAACAUUUUUACGCCCAAAACAAAAUUGGACGUAACAUGUCACAAGGGUAACGAGGGGUUUUUUGAUGUGAAAUAUCUAUAGGCGCACUCCUAAACCGAAUCGUUGGCGUGGCGAUACUUGCUGUGGCGAGCAAUCGAGCUAUACUAAGUGAUAACUCAGAAGAUCAAAGUGAUCAACCUUGUGCAAAGAAAGUGAAACUACACUAUGGUAAACUACCAAGUCAUCAUUCCCAACAAUCAUCGCAGGGAUCACAACAUAUUCUUAUUAAAACUGGACGCCACCCUGAUCAUUCAAACACAAGGCAUACUAUCAAUCUUGUGUAAGACUUUAUUAAUCGAAUAGUACCAGACUAUUUUAAUUUUUA